rnacentral:lncRNA from 1 species
GUGUAAGCGUCGGCGCUGCUGUAGAUCCUGGAGUGAGAAUGACAAAGCGCAGAGACCGCAGCAGGUCGUAGUUUGCAAUGCCCACAUACCUCCCUAUCGUCCAUCUUGAUGCAUAAAAUGGUGGGCAAAGGAGUAGGGCCUGACGGAUACCUAGAUUGAAAUUCUCUGUGAAUAAACCACAUAUCCGUUCAGCAAGCUCUUCUAACUCCCCCGCCCGGCAAGAUGCAUUCCAGAAAUGGUAAUUUGGUGACAGGUGGGAUAGCCUGUCACAGGUUGGGAAGAGAAGCCGUGAGACAGGAUGGAGGAGAAACAGAAGGUCUUUUAGUACGUUCGUGCAGCAGAUUUCAAGACUAAGAGAGAAAGACUGCCUCAUCCCUGCAGGAAGAAAAAA